GAUGAACGCUGGCGGCGUGCUUAACACAUGCAAGUCGAACGAAGCACUUUAAUCGAUUUCUUCGGAUUGAAAUUUUAGUGACUGAGUGGCGGACGGGUGAGUAACGCGUGGGUAACCUGCCUCACACAGGGGGACAACAGUUGGAAACGGCUGCUAAUACCGCAUAAGCGCACAGUACCGCAUGGUACGGUGUGAAAAACUCCGGUGGUGUGAGAUGGACCCGCGUCUGAUUAGCUAGUUGGCAGGGUAACGGCCUACCAAGGCGACGAUCAGUAGCCGACCUGAGAGGGUGACCGGCCACAUUGGGACUGAGACACGGCCCAAACUCCUACGGGAGGCAGCAGUGGGGAAUAUUGCACAAUGAGGGAAACCCUGAUGCAGCGACGCCGCGUGAGCGAAGAAGUAUUUCGGUAUGUAAAGCUCUAUCAGCAGGGAAGAAGAAAUGACGGUACCUGACUAAGAAGCACCGGCUAAAUACGCGCCAGCCGCCGCAGUAA
rnacentral:rRNA from 1 species